GAUGAACGCUGGCGGCGUGCCUAAUACAUGCAAGUCGAGCGAACAGAUAAGGAGCUUGCUCCUUUGACGUUAGCGGCGGACGGGUGAGUAACACGUGGAUAACCUACCUAUAAGACUGUGAUAACUUCGGGAAACCGGAGCUAAUACCGGAUAACAUAUUGAACCGCAUGGUUCAAUAGUGAAAGGCGGCUUUGCUGUCACUUAUAGAUGGAUCCGCGCCGUAUUGGCUAGUUGGUAAGGUAACGGCUUACCAAGGCAACGAUACGUAGCCGACCGGAGAGGGUGAUCGGCCACACUGGAACUGAGACACGGUCCAGACUCCUACGGGAGGCAGCAGUAGGGAAUCUUCCGCAAUGGGCGAAAGCCUGACGGAGCAACGCCGCGUGAGUGAUGAAGGUCUUCGGAUCGUAAAACUCUGUUAUCAGGGAAGAACAAAUGUGUAAGUAACUGUGCUCAUCUUGACGGUACCUGAUCAGAAAGCCACGGCUAACUACGUGCCAGCAGCCGCGGUAA
rnacentral:rRNA from 1 species